rnacentral:rRNA from 1 species
GACGUAGGUGGCGAACGUUAUCCGGAGUUAUUGGGCGUAAAGGGUGCGUAGACGGCAUGAUAAGUUAUUGGCGGGAAAUCGAGGCUCAACCUCGUGGAAACUGAUAAUACUGUUUUGCUUGAGUACAGGAGAGGUUAACGGAACUCCAUGUGGAGCGGUAAAAUGUGUAGAUAUAUGGAAGAACAUCAAUAACGGCGAAGGCAGUUAACUAUUCUGUUACUGACGUUGAGGCACGAAAGCGUGGGGAGCAAAACGG